rnacentral:tRNA from 1 species
GCCAUCAUGGCCUAGUGGUUUGAGUGUUGGACUAUGAAUCUGGAGACCAGGGUUCAAUUCUCAGCUCAGCCA